rnacentral:rRNA from 1 species
UACGGAGGGUGCAAGCGUUAUCCGGAUUCACUGGGUUUAAAGGGUGCGUAGGCGGCUAGGUAAGUCCGUGGUGAAAUCCUGCAGCUUAACUGCAGAACUGCCGUGGAUACUCUCUAUCUUGAAUAUCGUGGAGGUUAGCGGAAUAUGUCAUGUAGCGGUGAAAUGCUUAGAUAUGACAUAGAACACCCAUUGCGAAGGCAGCUAACUACGCGAUCAUUGACGCUGAUGCACGAAAGCGUGGGGAUCAAACAGG